rnacentral:rRNA from 1 species
UAUGUGAUCGUCUCUCGCAUAUCAAUAAGCGGAGGAAAAGAAACUAACAAGGAUUCCCCUAGUAACGGCGAGUGAAGCGGGAAGAGCUCAAAUUUGAAAUCUUAAAGGGUUUCCCUUUACGAAUUGUAGUUUAAAGAAGUGUUUUCUGUUGAGGUUUUGGUAAAAGUUCUUUGGAAUAGGACAUCAUAGAGGGUGAGAAUCCCGUAUUUGACCUUUACUUUCAACUUUGUGAUACACUUUCAAAGAGUCGGAUUGUUUGGGAAUGCAGUCCAAAAUGGGUGGUAAAUUUCAUCUAAAGCUAAAUAUUGGCGAGAGACCGAUAGCGAACAAGUACCGUGAGGGAAAGAUGAAAAGAACUUUGAAAGAGAGUUAAACAGUACGUGAAAUUGUCAAAAGGGAAGCGUUUGACACCAGUGUUGUUUUUCUGAAAAUCAAUUAAAGAACUGUUUAUGCUAAGCUGUUUAGACUUUAUCAGCUAUCUGUUUAGUUUUGAGCUUUUCUUUAAUGCACUUUUCAGUUAACAAGUCAACAUCAAUUUCUUUUGCUGUAAAAAAGCUUGAGGAAGGUGGCUUGAGAUUCGUCUUAAGUGUUUAUAGCCUCUUGCCUAUGCAGUCGGAGAGAUUGAGGUCUGCAGCGUAGAUCCUUCGGGGCUAAAUGCAUUUGUGCUAAGUUAUAGCAUUUUAUAGACAACUUGUUGACUAUGAUUUGUCUUGUAGCUUACUCGCUUAUGUUAUUUUACCUACGCUUAGGAUGUUGACUGAUAUGUAGUCGUA